GUAGAGACUAGAGUCUCAUCUUGACAUCCUUCAUUGUCUUGGUGUGCUAGAGUCCUCUUAGAGUGAAGACUGGUCCUAUUCACCGACUGACUCUUGUGUAGGUCAGUCAGCCACAUGGGCAGUUACAGUC
rnacentral:snoRNA from 1 species